rnacentral:rRNA from 1 species
UUCCGGUUGAUCCUGCCGGACCCCACUGCUAUCGGGAUAGGACUAAGACAUGCAAGUCAAGCGCUUUCUAGCUAAUGUGAGAGCGCGGCGUACAGCUCAGUAACACGUGGCCAACCUGCCCUUGGGACGGGAACACCCCCGGGAAACUGGGGUUAAUUCCCGAUAGGUGAAGAAGUCUGGAAUGACUCUUCGCUCAAAAGACGUUUAUGUCAUGCUCAUAUUCGUCGCCCAGGGAUGGGGCCGCGACCGAUCAGGUUGUUGGUGAGGCAAUGGCUCACCAAGCCUUUUACCGGUGCGGGCCGUGAGAGCGGGAGCCCGGAGAUGGGCACUGAGACAAAGGCCCAGGCCCCACGGGGCGCAGCAGUCGCGAAAAUUUUGCAAUACACGAAAGUGUGACAGAGCUAUCCCGAGUGCCAUCCGCUGAGGAAGGCUUUUACCCAGUAUAAAUAGCUGGGAGAAUAAGGAGAGGGCAAGUCUGGUGUCAGCCGCCGCGGUAAUACCAGCUCUCCGAGUAGUGUGGACGUUUAUUGGGCCUAAAGCAUCCGUAGCUUGCUAGAUAAGUCCUCUGUUAAAUCCACCGAUUCAAUCGUUGGAUUGCGGGGGAUACUGUUUGGCUAGGGGACGGGAGAGGUCGACGGUAUUUCCGGGGUAGGGGUGAAAUCCUAUAAUCCCGGGAGGACCACCAGUGGCGAAGGCUGUCGACUAGAACGCGCCCGACGGUGAGGGAUGAAAGCUGGGGGAGCGAACCGGAUUAGAUACCCGGGUAGUCCCAGCUGUAAACGAUGCAGGCUAGGUGUUUGGGCGGCCACGAGCCGCCCUAGUGCCGCAGAGAAGUUGUUAAGCCUGCCGCCUGGGGAGUACGGCCGCAAGGCUGAAACUUAAAGGAAUUGGCGGGGGAGCACCACAAGGGGUGAAGCUUGCGGUUUAAUUGGAGUCAACGCCGGG